rnacentral:rRNA from 1 species
AUCUUCCGCAAUGGACGAAAGUCUGACGGAGCAACGCCGCGUGAGUGAUGAAGGCUUUCGGGUCGUAAAACUUUGUUGUUAGGGAAGAACAAGUGCUAGUUGGUUAAGCUGGCACCUUGACGGUACCUAACCAGAAAGCUACGGCUAACUACGUUCCAGCAGCCGCGGUAAUACGUAGGUGGCAAGCGUUAUCCGGAAUUAUUGGGCGUAAAGCGCGCGCAGGUGGUUUCUUAAGUCUGAUGUGAAAGACCACGGCUCAACCGUGGAGGGUCAUUGGAACCUGGGAGACUGGAGUGCAGAAGAGGAAAGUGGAAUUCCAUGUGUAGCGGUGAAAUGCGUAGAGAUAUGGAGGAACACCAGUGGCGAAGGCGACUUUCUGGUCUGUAACUGACACUGAGGCGCGAAAGCGUGGGGAGCAAACAGG